rnacentral:rRNA from 1 species
GAGUUUGAUCAUGGCUCAGGAUGAACGCUAGCGACAGGCUUAACACAUGCAAGUCGAGGGGCAGCGGUGGUGAAGGCUUGCCUUUACCAGCCGGCGACCGGCGCACGGGUGAGUAACACGUAUGCAACCUGCCUGCCACAGCCGGAUAAUCGGGAGAAAUUCCGUCUAAUACGGCAUAAUGCAUCGACGGGACAUCCUGUUGGUGCCAAAGGUUAAUUCCGGUGGCGGAUGGGCAUGCGUCGCAUUAGUUAGUUGGCGGUGUAACGGACCACCAAGACGACGAUGCGUAGGGGUUCUGAGAGGAAGGUCCCCCACGCUGGUACUGAGACACGGACCAGACUCCUACGGGAGGCAGCAGUGAGGAAUAUUGGUCAAUGGGCGGGAGCCUGAACCAGCCAAGUCGCGUGAGGGAUGACGGCCCUAUGGGUUGUAAACCUCUUUUGCCGGGGAGCAAAGUGCCGCACGUGUGCGGUUUGGAGAGUACCCGGAGAAAAAGCAUCGGCUAACUCCGUGCCAGCAGCCGCGGUAAUACGGAGGAUGCGAGCGUUAUCCGGAUUUAUUGGGUUUAAAGGGUGCGUAGGCGGACGCUUAAGUCAGCGGUAAAAUUGCGGGGCUCAACCUCGUCGAGCCGUUGAAACUGGGUGCCUUGAGUGGGCGAGAAGUACGCGGAAUGCGUGGUGUAGCGGUGAAAUGCAUAGAUAUCACGCAGAACUCCGAUUGCGAAGGCAGCGUACCGGCGCCCAACUGACGCUGAAGCACGAAGGCGUGGGUAUCGAACAGGAUUAGAUACCCUGGUAGUCCACGCAGUAAACGAUGAAUGCUAGUUGUCCGGGGCGAUUGAGUUCUGGGUGACACAGCGAAAGCGUUAAGCAUUCCACCUGGGGAGUACGCCGGCAACGGUGAAACUCAAAGGAAUUGACGG